rnacentral:sRNA from 1 species
GAACCCUUUCACUUAACUGCCGAGAGAAGGGUAUAUUGGACUUGCGCAAAGCCAUGCAACAGAUUGGAUUUAUUGAUCAAAAAGCAGCUUCCAGAAUAUUUAAGUUUACGGAUACUACCCUCUUGAAAAUUUGAGAAGAAUUGGACUUAAUGCAUCGAACAAGGCAUUUGCUAUAGAUUGGGGAAAAGCAGCAUAUGUAUGUAUGCAUAGGAGGCGGCGGCUGUAAUACAGGAGGUGCAACUCAGGAGGAGGCGGCUUUCAUAUAGGAGAAGGCGGCUUCAACUAUAGAGGACGCGGCGGCUUGAGCUAACGAGGAGGCAGUGGCAGGAGGAGACGGUUUCAAAUAUGGAGUUAAGAAAAACGUAUUCUUAACUAAUGCUCUUCUACGCGAUUCUCAUAAAAUCAAGUAAGGCUUUACUUUAAUAUGAGGAGGCGGCGGCUGUUAUACAGGAGGAGACGGCUUCAACUAAGGAGAAGGAGGCGGCUUUAAUAUUGAAGGAAA